rnacentral:rRNA from 1 species
UACGGGGGGAGCAAGCGUUGUUCGGAUUUACUGGGCGUAAAGGGCGCGUAGGCGGUCAGCACAAGUCAGUUGUGAAAUCUCCGGGCUUAACUCGGAAAGGUCAACUGAUACUGUGCGACUAGAGUGCGGAAGGGGCAACUGGAAUUCUUGGUGUAGCGGUGAAAUGCGUAGAUAUCAAGAGGAACACCGGUGGCGAAGGCGGGUCUCUGGGCCGUAACUGACGCUGAGACGCGAAAGCGUGGGGAGCAAACAGG